rnacentral:sRNA from 1 species
UCUUGUAAAGGUUGUUCUGGUGAAUCU